rnacentral:lncRNA from 1 species
AUUGAAUGACUUAAAUAGGAGUCCGAUCAGGAGGAUGAACGGGUUGGGCCUGGCUUAUUCGAGGGCUUAGGAGCCUCCUGAUUGUGGGCUGCUACUAUCGGCCCGGCCUCGUAAUGGGAUGGAGAAAUCCAGCGGUCAUCAAAUGCCCCUUUACCUUCUCAUCAGUUAUUGCCCGACUGAUGGGGGGUAAAUACCGAGAAUCAUUAUGACCGCGCCAUCUAAAUACAGUUUGCCUCAGAACACCCUUUCACCUUAUCGUCAUAUCGAUUUCCAAAUUUUCUCCGUCUUCUCCCAGUUCCUGCUUUCCUCGGUCAUUCGUGCACGCUGCUAUCUGCGUUCCCCUGUCUUUAUUUUCACGGUACGUUUCUUCUUUUACCAGGGAUAGCUCUAAUCUCUCGGAUGUCGUCAACCUAGAGUUUAGCAUCACCCCGUCUAACACCUGAAACUUCAUUCCCAGGAAAUACCU